GAGAUUGUUGUGGAGCUGGUUGGAGGUUUUGUGGUUUCUGGGUGGGACGACAACUAAAUGUUUCCAUCACACUGACAGCAGUACACGGAUACUAUAUUAUACUCGCUGUGGCGAGAAUCGAUUUCCCCUGGACCCUCCUGAAUGCAGAGAUGUCUAGGUUUUUGGAUCAGAGCUGUUUAUUCUGUCAUCCAUGGAUAGACUCAAUUGAAACACUCCACAUACACCAGUAUGCAAAGGCUCGAAUGGUCUUCACAUUGAGUGUCCGAACUCCUCUCACACGAAUCACCCAACGCCAAUGUUGCAGAGGCAAUUCUUUAAAUAAAGCAUGUUAAGUAUG